AUAAUUGUACAAUAAUACCUUCUCAUCAAACAUUAAAAGUAAAUUUUCGAGAAAAAUAGUCGUUACGGUGUGUAGGCAUAACCAAAAUCUAACUGUAACGGUAUUUUGGACCGUAACCGAACCGUUUAUUAACCGUAACCCAACCGUAACCGUAUAAAACGGUUAAUAACCGUAACCGUUAACAGUGAAAAUAGAUCUGUUACGGUUAAGAAAAUAUACUAACUGUAACCGUUAAUUAACCGUAACCGUAUCAAAACCGUACGGUUAAUCGUAUUUUCAAAAC
rnacentral:sRNA from 1 species